rfam:Halanaerobium praevalens DSM 2228, complete genome.
GAGGGACGGCCCCUCAAAAUCGGUAUUUAGGUACUGAUUUUAAAUCACCUUAUGGUGCUGUUAACUAAAAAUAAUGGUGCUGAGCGAUAAGGAAAAGGCAAAACUUAAGAUUUUGUCAGA